CCACGGUCUUCUAACUGAGGAACCUGAGCAGAUGCCUUGACCCAGACCAGAGACCCAAGCCAAGGAAAGCCCGUGAUCACCAGAUUGCAAAAUAAUACACACUAGUGGUAAACAUUUCAAACAACAGAAAAUGUAAAAACAAAAAAUGGAAGCUCCUCCUUCGCAACUUCCCAGUGGUCAAUGUGGACUGUUCAGCGUUUACCCUUCCAGACAUUCUUCUAUGAACCAGCAAACAGGUGGAGUCUCACUCUGUUGCCCAGGCUGGAGGGCAGUGACACGAUCUUGGCUCACUGCAACCUCCGCCUCCCAGGUUCAAGCAAUUCUCCUGCCUCAGCCUCCCCAGUA